UUAUGACUCGGACAUAAAUCUGUCUCACUUUAACUCUAAGCUCAGUCAAAAUAUGCUUCAUAAGUCUAGGCUGUAGCGGCCCUACUAUUUCUUUAUAAGUUUAUAGUAAAACAUUACAAUUUUUAUAAAAAUGUAUUAGGUACCUAUUUAAAAUUGUACUUCACUGUGUAUUCAUUAGACUUGUUACUUUUAUAUUUGUCACUUUUAAUCGGUGCAAUACUUUGUGAUUUUUAAAAUCAUAAACAAAAAUUUAUUUUUGAUAAAUCUGUUUAAUUUCUGUAUCAAAGAGGCCAUCUUGUUUUAAGUUUUGAAAAAUUGAAAUUUGAACUUUUACCGUGCAUUUACAUAUUCGCCAUCGCGGCCCGCGCUCGCCAUUCGACAAGACGAGAUGUGAGAUGGGAUACCAGUAGCUUGGCGCUCGUUUAUGGUAUAAUGACAGCUGCAAUGUCACGAUCGCAAUCACCUGAUUGGCUGAUGCUCGCUCACUAAAUUGCAUUAUUCGAAGAAAAAAAUACCAUAAAUUCAGCCAAUCAAAAAAAUUGAGAUUGUAAGGAUGACUGCAUUGAAUUAGCGGACCUUGAGUCACAUGUUCAUCUUGUCUCGUUUUGUUCUGUCAGUGGCGAGAUUAUGCACGAGUUGUUACGCUCAAAGACCAAACGCUCAUUAUUAGUUUUUUUUUUUAAAGAAUAUUAGCCAUGCUAAUCAUGACUAAUUUUCCCCUUUCCCCUCCAAUUAAGCGUAAAGCUUAAUUUUGAGCGAAAAAACAGCUUACAACGCGUUGUGGUCGCUGUAAAAUAUCCACAUCGCAAAAUUUUUGUUAUGGCUCUUAUAUGUGGCUCUCACGACGCAUUCUGGCAACCACAGAAAGACCACAGCAAAAUUCGUAUCGUGGCUACUGCGUAUUGGGGCAUGAGUCAUGUCGAAUGUAUAAUUAUGACGAGACGCGGACAUACCGCGAAGGCGAAUAUGUAAAUGCACGGUAAGUAUUAUUUUGUAAUAUAUAAACAAUAAUUAAAUAUGUAAUUGUAAGAUAUACUUUUAUUUUAGUAUUAUUUUGUAAGAUGAUGUUUUAUUUUACUUAUUAAGCAGUAGCCAUAUUUGAAUUAAGAUCGUUACGACAUAAAUACAUUAAAUCGGGUGAUUUUCCUUUUCUAAUGUAACUUUAGUCUGUUAAAGUUACAGAAAAGCAAAGUUACCCCGAUUCACGGCAAUGGAAUUGGUGUUAAAUGGAAUACCCUCCACCACGAGUGCCUGCUUUGAAUAGUUAGUUAUAAAUCGUAUUGACUAAUUGUUAGGUUAAUGCCACAGACUAAUGAAAAAGAUACGAAGCUCUUGUUAACAGAUGUUUAUAAAAGUGAAGCCAGUUGUAUGUAUGCCACGCAUAUUACGUUUCAUAGCGUACCUAAGCAUGACAUACGUGAAAGAGCUAGUCAGCUUACUAUUUUUAGGAUUCCGUACGUCCGAAUGAACAACGAAACCCUUGUUUGAAAUGGAUUAUAAUCUGAGGACAUACCACACCUCAGGUGCCUCAACUCCCAUUAAAACUAAUGUAAGUUUCAUAGAAAACAAACUGGUUUGGUCUGUGUAAAAUAUGGAAAAUGAAAUCAAGACAUUUGACCAACGAUACAGAAUAUUUUUUAUUCAAAAAUUCAAGACUUUACAACUCCUUAUUUCGGCUUCUCGGACCUGCUUCAUGUAUGAGCGGGUCGUCUCGUCUUUUUCCUUUAGUCUCUGGUUCACGCAUCGCCGCACAACGAAAAUUGUGUUAACUGUAUUCGAAGCUAGAUCGCUUAGUGCAUAAGUUUAUAAUAUACACCAAUGACACUUUUUGAACGUUUUAUUACUAGAGAUUUGCCUAUUAAAUUAUUUUUGUAAAUGA